rnacentral:rRNA from 1 species
GGGUUGUGAGGUUAAGCGACUAAGCGUACACGGUGGAUGCCCUGGCAGUCAGAGGCGAUGAAGGACGUGCUAAUCUGCGAUAAGCGUCGGUAAGGUGAUAUGAACCGUUAUAACCGGCGAUUUCCGAAUGGGGAAACCCAGUGUGAUUUGUCACACUAUCAUUAACUGAAUCCAUAGGUUAAUGAGGCGAACCGGGGGAACUGAAACAUCUAAGUACCCCGAGGAAAAGAAAUCAACCGAGAUUCCCCCAGUAGCGGCGAGCGAACGGGGAGGAGCCCAGAGCCUGAAUCAGUGUGUGUGUUAGUGGAAGCGUCUGGAAAGGCGCGCGAUACAGGGUGACAGCCCCGUACACAAAAAUGCACAUGCUGUGAGCUCGAUGAGUAGGGCGGGACACGUGGUAUCCUGUCUGAAUAUGGGGGGACCAUCCUCCAAGGCUAAAUACUCCUGACUGACCGAUAGUGAACCAGUACCGUGAGGGAAAGGCGAAAAGAACCCCGGCGAGGGGAGUGAAAAAGAACCUGAAACCGUGUACGUACAAGCAGUGGGAGCACGCUUCGGCGUGUGACUGCGUACCUUUUGUAUAAUGGGUCAGCGACUUAUAUUCUGUAGCAAGGUUAACCGAAUAGGGGAGCCGAAGGGAAACCGAGUCUUAACUGGGCGUUAAGUUGCAGGGUAUAGACCCGAAACCCGGUGAUCUAGCCAUGGGCAGGUUGAAGGUUGGGUAACACUAACUGGAGGACCGAACCGACUAAUGUUGAAAAAUUAGCGGAUGACUUGUGGCUGGGGGUGAAAGGCCAAUCAAACCGGGAGAUAGCUGGUUCUCCCCGAAAGCUAUUUAGGUAGCGCCUCGUGAAUUCAUCUCCGGGGGUAGAGCACUGUUUCGGCAAGGGGGGCAUCCCGACUUACCAACCCGAUGCAAACUGCGAAUACCGGAGAAUGUUAUCACGGGAGACACACGGCGGGUGCUAACGUCCGUCGUGAAGAGGGAAACAACCCAGACCGCCAGCUAAGGUCCCAAAGUCAUGGUUAAGUGGGAAACGAUGUGGGAAGGCCCAGACAGCCAGGAUGUUGGCUUAGAAGCAGCCAUCAUUUAAAGAAAGCGUAAUAGCUCACUGGUCGAGUCGGCCUGCGCGGAAGAUGUAACGGGGCUAAACCAUGCACCGAAGCUGCGGCAGCGACACUAUGUGUUGUUGGGUAGGGGAGCGUUCUGUAAGCCUGUGAAGGUGGCCUGUGAGGGUUGCUGGAGGUAUCAGAAGUGCGAAUGCUGACAUAAGUAACGAUAAAGCGGGUGAAAAGCCCGCUCGCCGGAAGACCAAGGGUUCCUGUCCAACGUUAAUCGGGGCAGGGUGAGUCGACCCCUAAGGCGAGGCCGAAAGGCGUAGUCGAUGGGAAACAGGUUAAUAUUCCUGUACUUGGUGUUACUGCGAAGGGGGGACGGAGAAGGCUAUGUUGGCCGGGCGACGGUUGUCCCGGUUUAAGCGUGUAGGCUGGUUUUCCAGGCAAAUCCGGAAAACUAAGGCUGAGGCGUGAUGACGAGGCACUACGGUGCUGAAGCAACAAAUGCCCUGCUUCCAGGAAAAGCCUCUAAGCAUCAGGUAACAUCAAAUCGUACCCCAAACCGACACAGGUGGUCAGGUAGAGAAUACCAAGGCGCUUGAGAGAACUCGGGUGAAGGAACUAGGCAAAAUGGUGCCGUAACUUCGGGAGAAGGCACGCUGAUAUGUAGGUGAAGCGACUUGCUCGUGGAGCUGAAAUCAGUCGAAGAUACCAGCUGGCUGCAACUGUUUAUUAAAAACACAGCACUGUGCAAACACGAAAGUGGACGUAUACGGUGUGACGCCUGCCCGGUGCCGGAAGGUUAAUUGAUGGGGUUAGCGGUAACGCGAAGCUCUUGAUCGAAGCCCCGGUAAACGGCGGCCGUAACUAUAACGGUCCUAAGGUAGCGAAAUUCCUUGUCGGGUAAGUUCCGACCUGCACGAAUGGCGUAAUGAUGGCCAGGCUGUCUCCACCCGAGACUCAGUGAAAUUGAACUCGCUGUGAAGAUGCAGUGUACCCGCGGCAAGACGGAAAGACCCCGUGAACCUUUACUAUAGCUUGACACUGAACAUUGAGCCUUGAUGUGUAGGAUAGGUGGGAGGCUUUGAAGUGUGGACGCCAGUCUGCAUGGAGCCGACCUUGAAAUACCACCCUUUAAUGUUUGAUGUUCUAACGUUGACCCGU